UUGCAUUAUUUAGUUUGUCAUGCUCUCUGACUGUUACGUGUCACCUCUUUCACAUCAACCACUUCCUGCUAACCCCUACCCAUCUCUUUCUCCCCUCCACCCACUCACCCCAGGACAACUGUGAGGCCUACGCUCGCUGCCAGACUCAGAGCAGUAACCAUGGCGAUGAGAGGCACCAGCAGGCCCGCAGGAGGUUGGAAAGAGCCAGUGAUUGGGUGAUAGCCUAGUGGUGGUACGCCUUCCAAACCAGAAGGUCGUGAGCAAGACGUUUUUGGUUCCUGGCACACCGGGGGCCCAGGAGUAGUGAUACUCCGGUCUUCCCAACAGAAGGCGAUGCCACGGAAGGAAACAGUUCAACACUGCCUGGCCUCCCUCCUCAGCCUGCACUGGGUACUCUGGAGAAAGAUGGGACCAGACAGGAUAAAGUCCUCGAGUAAAACCCUGAUACUGCGGUCACACUGCAGACAGGCCUCGGCUGCAGGGACACAGCAGAGCAAGGACACCAGCAUCAACAGCAUCUGCCCUCUGCACCCUGAGAGUCACUUUUCCGUCAGUGCAGGUUCUGAAACAGAGUUGCCAAUAUUAUUAUUGCUGUUACAAAUAUCAACAUAACCGUUACUGCAACCCUUAUCACCACUCCUACACCUUAAUCCCAUCACUCCUGUUUCUACUUUAUCAUCAGGCCAUAUUUUCCAUUGCCUAAUAACCUAUUAAAAAGCUUUACAGCAUAGUUGAUUGGUUGUGGUAAUUUCAUUUAACACAAAUCUUUGUUGUAUGUUUAAGGCUUAAACUAACAUUUACUUUUAUCAUUGAUUAGUCUGCUUUUUAUUUCUUCGGAUUAAUCAACUAAUUAAGAAAAUGAAUCUGAACCCAAGAUGGCUCUGUGGAUAUCUGCCU
rnacentral:lncRNA from 1 species